rnacentral:rRNA from 1 species
GAUGAACGCUGGCGGCGUGCCUAAUACAUGCAAGUCGAGCGAACGGACGAGAAGCUUGCUUCUCUGAUGUUAGCGGCGGACGGGUGAGUAACACGUGGAUAACCUACCUAUAAGACUGGGAUAACUUAGGGAAACCGUAGCUAAUACCGGAUAAUAUUUUGAACCGCAUGGUUCAAAAGUGAAAGACGGUCUUGCUGUCACUUAUAGAUGGAUCCGCGCUGCAUUAGCUAGUUGGUAAGGUAACGGCUUACCAAGGCAACGAUGCAUAGCCGACCUGAGAGGGUGAUCGGCCACACUGGAACUGAGACACGGUCCAGACUCCUACGGGAGGCAGCAGUAGGGAAUCUUCCGCAAUGGGCGAAAGCCUGACGGAGCAACGCCGCGUGAGUGAUGAAGGUCUUCGGAUCGUAAAACUCUGUUAUUAGGGAAGAACAUAUGUGUAAGUAACUGUGCACAUCUUGACGGUACCUAAUCAGAAAGCCACGGCUAACUACGUG